rnacentral:rRNA from 1 species
AUUGAACGCUGGCGGCAGGCUUAACACAUGCAAGUCGAGCGAGCGGCGCACGGGUGAGUAAUGUCUGGGAAACUGCCUGAUGGAGGGGGAUAAAUACUGAAAGCGGUAGAUAAUACCGCAUACCCUCAGAUGUGCACAGAUGGGAUUAGCUAGGAGGUGGGGUAAUGGCUCACCUAGGCGACGAUCCCUAGCUGGUCUGAGAGGAUGACCAGCCACACUGGAACUGAGACACGGUCCAGACUCCUACGGGAGGCAGCAGUGGGGAAUAUUGCACAAUGGGCGCAAGCCUGAUGCAGCCAUGCCGCGUGUGUGAAGAAGGCCUUCGGGUUGUAAAGCACUUUCAGCGAGGAGGCGUUACGCGCAGAAGAAGCACCGGCUAACUCCGUGCCAGCAGCCGCGGUAAUUC